ACGGAAGCUUGGAUGAGGCCAAGGCUUAGCCGGAAGAGAAGGCUAAAUCUCCCGAACCAGGCUCCCCAGCACGGGUCCCGGUACCCACGCGGAGCACAUGCCGCGGAAUAGGCAAAAGUGUUGCGGGCCUGCGUGAUUGCGAAGAGCGGACGGCUACGACGGCCCUUUGGGUGGGGUUGCAGCCGAAGCGCAUUGCAAGGACGCCGAGGCCACCCACGCAACCCAUCUGGCACGCUUGGUAACCGGUAUCCGUGCUAGCGGGCGGCGAGCCGAAACAUCGUUUCGGACCGUCGCCCGCUUUCGUUU
rnacentral:ncRNA from 21 species